rnacentral:rRNA from 1 species
GACGAACGCUGGCGGCGUGCUUAACACAUGCAAGUCGAGCGGAGCGGCGAACGGGCGAGUAACGCGUGAGUAACUGCCCCCUUCCCUGGGACAACAGUUGGAAACGGCUGCUAAUACCGGAUAGUGGGGGAUGACUCGCGUCCUAUCAGCUUGUUGGUUGGGUAGUGUCCUACCAAGGCGACGAAGGGUACCCGGCCUGAGAGGGCGACCGGCCACAUUGUGCUGAGAUACGGACCAAACUCCUACGGGAGACAGCAGUGGGGAGUAUUGCACAAUGGGGGAAACCCUGAUGCAGCAACGCCGCGUGCGGGAUGACGGCCUUCGGGUUGUAAACCGCUUUCAGCCAUGACGCGGUAGUGACAGAAGAAGCACCGGCUAACUACGUGCCAGCAGCCGCGGUAAUAC